CUCAUAUCUCCACCCGUUUACGUCAACAACUGUCAACAGAGAGCUGUGAGAGUCUCAAUGCCUCGUCUGAACCAUGCUGACAUCGGAGAUACUGGACACACUAACACAGCUGACUUGCGUUACCACACUGACACCUAUAUUUGGCAAGAAGGCACAACAAGCGACGCGACUAUUUUAAAAUAGAUGCAUCUGAACUGCAGUAGGCAUUGUGAAAUCCUCUAUAUUCACGAAUGAUAUAAUCGUGGACAAUGUCAAGCUUUCUUCCAGGGACACAGAGCCAUGGAACACCACUGUCUGUCACUGCUGCUGAUUUUAUACGGUUCAGAAAUCGUACAAGGAUAUUGCUACAUGGAAUGGUUCAAACCGGUUGACUGUGUCAAGGGAGAGUACUGCUGUAAGAUUGGCAGACACUCGAGAUGUUGCAAGGAUGGAGAUCCGACGCCGUCAGUGAUGGCAAUUAUUGGAUGGGUUAUUUUCGGCCUGAUACUCCUUGUCGGACUCGUGUUUUUGUGUUUGAAGAUUUGGCCCCUCGUUGUUCGAGACUCAUGCUUAAGAACCAGACGCCAGAGGCACCCGGAUCAUCAGUCAGUCAGUCAGUCCGUGAAUUGAGUUAAACGUCGUUCUGAAAGCACAUUACCAAAGCGCUAGCGUGUCAGUGUAGAGUAUGAAGAAUGCGUGAUGCAGAUACCCAGAACAACUGUAGGAUUUACCACAUACCCAGAACACCUGUAGGACUUACCAAAUAUCCGGAGCACCUGUAGGAUUUACCACAUAUCCAGAACAUCUGUAGGAUUUACCACACAUCGAGAACACCUGUAGGAUUUAUCAGGAAUCCAGAACAUCGGUAGGAUUGACCAGAUAUCCAGAACACCUGUAGGAUUUUACCAGAUAUCCAGAACAUCUGUAGGAUUUAUCAGGAAUCCAGAACAUCUGUAGGAUUUACCAGAUAUCCAGAACAUUUAUGAAUUUAUCAGAUAUCCAGAACACCUGUAGGAUUUAUCAGAUAUCCAGAACAUAUAUGGAUUUAUCAGAUAUCCAGAACAGCUGUAGGAUUUACCAGAUAUCCAGAACACCUGUAGGAUUUACAACAUACCCAGGACAUCUGUAGGCUUUACCAGAUAUCCAGAACAUUUGUAGGAUUUACCACGAUAUCUAGCAUACAUGCAUAAUUUUACUGAUAUCCAGCUCACCUGUAGGAUUUACCCCCAUAUCGAGCAUACAUGCAUAAUUUACCUGAUAUCCAUCUUACCUGUAGGAUUUACCCUGAUAUCGAGCAUACAUGCAUAAAUUUACUGAUAUCCAGCUCAGCUGUAGGAUUUACCCCGAUAUCGAGCAUACAUGCAUAAUUUGCCUGAUAUCCAUCUUACCUGUAGGAUUUACUCCGAUAUCGAGCAUACAUGCAUACUUUUACUGAAAUCCAGCUCAGCUGUAGGAUUGACCCCGAUAUCGAGCAUACAUGCAUAAUUUUACUGAUAUCCAGCUCAGCUGUAGGAUUUACCCUGAUAUCGAGCAUACAUGCAUAAUUUUACUGAUAUCCAUCUCAGCUGUAGGAUUUACCCCGAUAUCGAGCAUACAUGCAUAACUUUACUGAUAUCCAGCUCAGCUGUAGGAUUUACCCCGAUAUCGAGCAUACAUGCAUAAUUUUACUGAUAUCCAGCUCAGCUGUAAGAUUUACUCCGAUAUCGAGCAUACAUGCAUAAUUUUUACUGAUAUCCAGCUCAGCUGUAGGAUUUACCCCGAUAUCGAGCAUACAUGCAUAAUUUACCUGACAUCCAGCUCAGCUGUAGGAUUUACCCCGAUAUCGAGCAUACAUGCAUAUUUUUACUGAUAUCUAGCUCACCUGUAGGAUUGACCCCGAUAUCGAGCAUACAUGCAUAAUUUUACUGAUAUCCAUCUCACCUGUAGGAUUGACCCCGAUAUCGAGCAUACAUGCAUAUUGUUACUGAUAUCCAGCUCACCUGUAGGAUUGACCCCGAUAUCGAGCAUACAUGCAUAUUGUUACUGAUAUCCAGCUCACCUGUAGGAUUUACCCCGAUAUCGAGCAUACAUGCAUAAUUUUACUGAUAUCCAGCUCACCUGUAGGAUUUACCCCGAUAUCGAGCAUACAUGCAUAAUUUACCAUAUAUCCAUCUCACCUGUAGGAUGUACCCCGAUAUCUAGCAUACAUGCAUAAUUUACCAGAUAUCCAGCUCACCUGUAGGAUUUACCCCGAUACCGAGUUCACCUGUAGGAUUUACCCCGGUAUCGAGUUCACCUGUAGAAUUUACCCCGGUAUCGAGUUCACCUGUAGAAUUUACCCCGACACCACGACACAGUUUCAUAAGGAAUGAAUGAGCUGUCUUGUUGAAUUUGUAAUGGCAAUAAAUUUGUUUGUUUAUAUUUUUCA